rnacentral:rRNA from 1 species
GACGAACGCUGGCGGCGCGCCUAACACAUGCAAGUCGAACGAGCGAGAGGGAGCUUGCUUUCUCGAGCGAGUGGCGAACGGGUGAGUAACGCGUGAGGAACCUGCCUCAAAGAGGGGGACAACAGUUGGAAACGACUGCUAAUACCGCAUAAGCCCACGGUGCCGCAUGGCACAGAGGGAAAAGGAGCAAUCCGCUUUGAGAUGGCCUCGCGUCCGAUUAGCUAGUUGGUGAGGUAAUGGCCCACCAAGGCGACGAUCGGUAGCCGGACUGAGAGGUUGAACGGCCACAUUGGGACUGAGACACGGCCCCGACUCCUACGGGAGGCAGCAGUGGGGAAUAUUGCACAAUGGGGGAAACCCUGAUGCAGCGACGCCGCGUGGAGGAAGAAGGUCUUCGGAUUGUAAACUCCUGUUGUUGGGGAAGAUAAUGACGGUACCCAACAAGGAAGUGACGGCUAACUACGUG